GCGGACGUUCCUGGACGGUAGGGACCGGCCUGAAAAGCGGAAGGUCGGCGGUUCGACCCCGCCCCUGCCCA
rnacentral:tRNA from 1 species